GUGCUCACUUCGGCAGAACAUGUGCUAAAAUUGAAAUGAUAUGGAAAAGAUUAGCAUGUCCCCUGUGCAAGGAUGAUACACAAGUUCAUGAAGCAUUCCAGAAGCUG
ensembl:snRNA Gm25814 predicted gene, 25814